CCUACGGGAGGCAGCAGUGGGGAAUAUUGCACAAUGGGCGAAAGCCUGAUGCAGCGACGCCGCGUGAACGAAGAAGUAUUUCGGUAUGUAAAGUUCUAUCAGCAGGGAAGAAGAAAUGACGGUACCUGACUAAGAAGCUCCGGCUAAAUACGUGCCAGCAGCCGCGGUAAUACGUAUGGAGCAAGCGUUAUCCGGAUUUACUGGGUGUAAAGGGAGCGUAGGCGGUCUUAUAAGUCUGAUGUGAAAGCCCGGGGCUCAACCCCGGGACUGCAUUGGAAACUGUAGGACUAGAGUGUCGGAGGGGUAAGUGGAAUUCCUAGUGUAGCGGUGAAAUGCGUAGAUAUUAGGAGGAACACCAGUGGCGAAGGCGGCUUACUGGACGAUUACUGACGCUGAGGCUCGAAAGCGUGGGGAGCAAACAGGA
rnacentral:rRNA from 1 species